rnacentral:lncRNA from 1 species
CUGUUUCUCUUUGUGAGUGCACUUCCCUCUCUGCAGUGAUCUAUGGUGCUCAAGAAAGGAUUUUUAAAUUGACAGGCUGAAAGAUACUAGCACCCGGGAGAGUUUAUUAAACCCACAGCCAAUGAACUUGGUUCAGCCAAUGCCUUUAAAAGAAUGAGUGUCUGAAAAGCUGCAGGGCACUGUAUCGUUUUAGCACUGAAAAAUGAGACAGAGAUUUUGAACAGUGUGAAAUGGACAUUCUGUUCUGUAGCCAAAAGUGUGUGUGAAAGAGGAAGAGAUUUUUGCCAGUGGAAGAAUGGAGAAGAAAAUAUGAACAGGGACAAAUUUAUUGGUGUGGCCACACUAUGAAGUAAUUUGGCAGCAUGCUGUUCUGAAAAGGGAUUGGAUCCUGGGAGAGAGGAGUGAAUUCGAAUCCUACUCCUUACUAGCUCUCAUCUGAAGUUUCUACCAGUGUUUUCUAUGGCUAGGCGACUUCCUUCCAGCUCUUGGACUUACAGGCCAAGCAGUACAGUUUGGGCACUAGGAUUGGAUGAGACUGAAGCUGGCAAAGCGCACUGCAGACUCGACUCUGUCAUUCAAAGGCCUCUCAGAUGGCGGCAACAGCAUGAGGUGUCAGGAAAGCUUUGAAGCAAAGGGUGCAGCAGAAGAGGUGGUGAUGGAUUUUGCAGGAUGACACCUGUGUAUCUUUGGAAAUUACUCUUAACAACAUGUGGUUAGCCUGCCCAAAGUACCAGUACUAAACCAUAUAACUUCACAUGUGUUAUCUCAUUUGUCUUCCCCCUUCUCCCCCUGUCCACCAAACUCCCAUACUCCCAAACCCCUAGUCCUUAUAUAUGAGAAAUUUGUAAUUCCCAGAGUUCCGUUUCCUUAAAGAGAGUCCCAGGCCACCCGCAUUAGAAUAUUUUGGGGGUGUCUAUUAAAAAUCAGGUUCCAGGAACUUACCCUACACUUAAUAAUCAAGAAUCUCUGUAGGUGGAACCUGAGAGCCUAGAUGAUUCUAUGCAUCCCCAAGUUUGAGAAGCACUCUCAGAGAGGAGCGGUAACUUGUUCAAGGUCAAAAUAAGAGAGAUAACAUUUGAAUUUGCUGGUCUGUCUUGGAAUCCCAUGCUUUUCCCACUCACUCCACUUACAUAGUCCCAUCAUGUAAGGGAAGGAAUGGUCUCAUCAUCUAAGGAAAGGUGAGAGGCCACAUGCUGUCAACUAUUAUAUUAAUGUUUGACAUUUGAUGAAUAUUUUGAAGUUUCAAGGUGUUUUCCUCCAGCUUUCCCACUUAAUAAAGCAUAAUAUGGUUUGAUUA